AUGUUGCCGAGAUUAAGAUGAGAAGGACGUGGAACGGAUCUGAAGUCCCAGAUUCUCACUGUAGCUCCACAUAAGCUGCAAUCCAGCAAAGGUGACCUCAUGCUGCAUCCAGAAUCUUUUACACGUAGUUUGCCUUUCCCCUUAUCUUUCUUGACUGAUGUAGAGUAUGAAUUUUGCUGAUGCUCAGGAAAGCGGGAGCAUUUAUCUGGUUCAGCUGAGGCUGCAUUUUUUGCAGAGUGGGUUGAAUUUUCUUCCCAGUCUUGUACGUUCGGAAGCCAUCUAGGUUCCCAUCCACAAAGGCUAAUAAGCUUCUGCGCCUGGAUACAUUAG
rnacentral:rRNA from 1 species